CAAGGGCCUACACCAAGCAUCGAGUUCUGGUUAAAUGAAAAUACGAAAAAUAAAAUAAAAAAAAAAAAAAAAAAACAUGAACAUCACAAAACAAUAUUAUUAAUAACAAUGAGUGAUGAUGAGUUUUUUCAAGAUAAAGGUAGUAAUUCACUUCAAUAUAUUAAAUGCAAAACGAGCACAAAAAUUGAUGAUAUAUUAAAAAGAAGAAGAAGAGACAAAGAAGAUGUGCAAGGAAGUGAUAAAGAAACAAUGAUUGAAGAAGGAACUAGCGAAAUGGUAAUUAAAGAAGAAAAACAGGUAAGUGAUAAUUCAGCUGAAAAAAUACUUUCAAAUAUUGAAAAGAUUAAAACAAGUAUGAAUUAUAGAGUUAGUAUGAAUUACAAAAAUGAUAAUAUUACUCGUAUUAAUAGUACUAAUAAUGCUACAAGCAAUACUACUACUACUACUACUAUGAUUAAUGAUGAUGAUGAUAUUAUGAAUAAUCACUUUUCAAGCGGCAUGGAUAAAAAAGGAGCGUUAUACAAAAAUAAUAACAGUAGUAUUAAUAACUAUUUAAAAAAAAGUUAUUCUAAUAUAUAUAAUGGUGUAGAUAAUGUAAACACAGAAAAUAAUAAUUUAUUAGAAAAAAAAUUUACAAUUGAAAAUAUGAGAAAAAGUUCAUCAAAUAAUAGCUUAGGCUAUAAUAGUUUGUUAAAACAGAGUAUAAGUAGUUAUAAUAGAUUAACAUCAUUAAUAAAAUCAAAUAAGGAAUUAAUGCGUAGUAAUACUACGAUAGGUACUGUAAAAGCUCAUAUUGAUAAUAAGAAUAAUAACACGUAUUCUGAUAAUACAAACAUAAAUACAUAUGUCGAAAACCAAAAUAGCACCACUAAUUACAAUAAUGAUAAUAACUCACAUGUAAAUAGCUACUUAACCAAACAAUUAGAUUAUUAUAAAACACCUAGCACAGAAGAAAUUUUAAAUAAAAUAAAAAGCAACGAUGAUGAUGAUUUUAAUAAUUUCGAUGUAGGUUUGUAUGCUUAUGAUUAUGUUCAGGGGUUUGUGGGAAGUGCAUAUGAGGAAAAUAGCAAUACGAUUGAAGAUAAUAGUCCUUUCCAUAUGAGCAAUAGUUAUGUUUAUAAUAGGAGUAAUAGUUAUAUUAAUGAUAAUAACAAAAAUGAAUCAACAGAAACAGUAUCUAUUACAGCUAAUAACAAUGGUAGUAUUGGUGGUAUUACUGAUAAUACAAACAAGAACCAUAACGACGAUCAUAUAUAUUUAAAUAUGGAUUCUAUAAACAAAAUGAAUUACAAUGAAGUGGAUAUGAAUAAAACUCCAAGUAAAAGUUCAAAAAAUUAUUAUGAGUAUUUAAAAUUUGAAACAGCUGGUAAAAUGAAUAUGAGUGAAUUAGAAACUCCAUCAAAUUUAAAAGACGAAAAAGAUGAAGAUGGCACGAACACACCAUUUAUAGCUUACUAUUUGGCAGGUGCAACUGAAAAUAAUAAUAUAACUACUGAAGAGAAUAAUUUAGAAGAUAGUUUAAAAAAAGGAUUUACAAAUGAGCAUUCUAGUAAUGAAGAUAUUAACAACACAUAUGAGUCAAAGAUACAUAAAGAACAUAAUGGUUAUAAUAAGGAAUACAGUUUAACCGAUAAUAAAAAUGAUACAGAAAUGAAAGAUGUACUAAAAGAAGAUCAUAUUGAUAAAGAAGUUAAACCAUGGGAUUACGGUACUAAUGAUGUGAAUAGUGGUACGAGUCGUUUGUUUGAUCCGAAUGCAUCAAACGGAAAUGCAGACACUGGUGACAUAUUUAACCAUCAUAGCAUUUUGAAAAAAUAUAAUUCUUUAAAAAUGGAAAAGGAACAUAAUGAAAUGGUUAUAAAGGAUGACAGUAAAAAGGAGUUGCAUAUAAGGGGCCAAAGCGUCGGUAUGAAUAAUAAAACUUUAGUUGAUAAUAGCACGGAUAAUGUAACAAGUAGUGGCAAUAAUGUAACAAGUAGUGGCAAUAAUGUAACAAGUAGUGGUAAUAACAUAACAAACAGUGGCAAUAAUGUAACAAGUAGUGGCAAUAAUGUAACAAGUAGUGGCAAUAAUGUAACAAGUAGUGGUAAUACUAAUGUAAGCUUUGCAGAUAAUAUAUUUAUCCGCGCCAAUAGUAACAAGAUAGACAUCAAGCCGUUAGAAAAAAACAUUUUUGCUAACUCAACAUAUUAUAACAAUGAGGAUAAAAAUAAAAUUCAAAAAAGCAAAAGUGGAAUAAUUUUUAAAAACGUAGAAAAUAAAUUUAUUUUUGGUAAAACUGACAGUAUAUCAUUAAGCACAACUAAUGACACAAAUAGGUCAAGCAUAUAUGAUUACGACAAAAUAUAUAAAACGACACAAUAUUUGGAUAAAUCAAAUAAGAAUAAAAUACAUGAUUCUAUUUAUAAGGAACAAGAAACAACAUUCAAUCCGAUGACUAAUAAAGAUAUCAAAGGUAAUUAUAUUAAUUUUAAGAAAAUGAGUGGCAGUAGAAGUAUAAGUUGUAAUGACAAAUACGUGAAUGAUUCAUUUUACAAAAGAGAAUAUGCUCAACCAAAUUUAAAUAUGUAUGCUAAAACGUCUACAAUUUUUGAUAAAUCAAAAGGUGUUAACAUUUUACAAACAAAUAAUAAAACAGAAUUUGAAAAUCUAAAUCAACAGUUUGAACAUAACAAGGGAGAAGACAUACACAAAGAACAGUAUGACGAAAAAUUAAAAGAUAUCGAAAAAUAUAUACAUGAUAGUAAAAACAAAAUCUUUAACAAAAAUAAGGACAAUAAUGAAAAUGCUUAUUACUUAAAACAUAAAAAAUCAAAUAAAAGUAUUGGCAAUGGUAGUGGGGUAUUCAAAAGUGGUAAUUACAAUGACAAUUGUGGUGGUAAUAUUAUCCACGACAAUAUACACAACAGUCGAAACGAAGAAAACGUAUCCGGUUUAAAUAAUUUUGUGAAAAAUAGUACGAACAUAAAUCAAGAUAACACAUUAAAAAAAUCAAAUGAAAAAAAAAACAUGACCGUAGAUAUAAGUGCUAUGAAUAAAAGUAGAUAUGAAAAUGUGUUUUCACAAAAUGAUAUUAAAAGAGCUUAUAAUAAAAAUGGAGUAUAUGGAGAAGAUGUAAGUGGUUACAUUAGAAGUGUUACAGGUAGUGAAAUUCAUACUGGUAAUGUAGUUGCUACUGUUACUGCUACUGGCACACAUGUUCAUAGCAGCAGUAGUGGUAAUAACAAUAUGAAUGUAUGGUUAAAUGAUUAUUUAAAUGCGAAGAACAGGAAAGAAGUGCAUCUAGAUCGGGUGAUAAAUGGAGGUAGCAUUACUAGUAAUAAUAGCAAGAAAACAAAUAAUAAUGAAUUAAAGGGAAAUACUAAUAACGAUAACAUACAAAUAAAGGCAAGUACCAAAAACGACUACCACGACUCUUUACUAAACGAUCAUAAAGGAGUAAACAAAUCGUUCGACGCUAAUUUAUUCGGCACUAAUUUGUUCGGUAGUAAUUUGUUCGGUAGUAAUUUGCUUGGCACGAAAUUUUUUGGAACCAAUCCGUAUGGCAAUAAUACGUAUAACACCAAUACGUAUAGCACCAAUACGUAUAACACCAAUACGUAUGGUAAUUAUUCGUUCAGCGGUAUUACAAGUGGAGACAACCAAAUAAAGAACAAUCCAUAUAAUGGUAAUACGUUCCGUCAUAAUCUGUUAAAUAAUAACAAUGCAAAUGUUAUGAAUAUACCUGGAUUUAAUAAUAUGUUAGUUAAGAAUAAACAAUCGGUAGGCAUAGUAAAUCAAAGUAACAAUACAAAUAUAUUAAGUGAAACGGCAGAUUUUGGUUAUAAAGAAAAUAAGAAUGAAUUGAUUGGAUAUGAUAAUUCUGUAGCUAAUAAAGUUAUUAGUAAUAAUAACAUUGACAACAAUAUGAACAACAAUAUGAACAACAAUAUGAACAACAAUAUGAACAACAAUAUGAACAACAAUAUGAACAACAAUAUGAACAACAAUAUGAACAACAAUAUGGACAACAAUAUGGACAACAAUAUGGACAAUAAUAGUAACGGUUACAAUUCAUAUUUAGUUGACAGUAAUAAACUAAAACAAUACUGGAAUGAUUAUAUGAAUACUAGUUUUAAUAAUAUAAAUGUGAGUGAUAUAAAAAAUAGAAUAUUUAAUAAUAAUUACAACAAAAACAAAGAAACUGAUUCAACAAAGGAUAGUUCCAUAUUAAAUUAUAUAAAUGAUAAUGAAUUGUCUCAGUUUAUUCGUGAGCAGAUAAAAGACAGCAUAAAUUUUGCCAUUGAUAAAAUUUUGAAGGAUAAAAAUGUCGGGCUGGAAGGAAAUAUAACAAGGGAAAAAGAGAUAGAGACAUCUAAGCAUGAGGAAGACGAAACUGAUGCUACAAGGGAAUCAGAACGGAAUGAUGCGGAAAAUGCAGAUCCAAGCGGUUUAAGCGGUCCAAAUGAUGCAUAUACCACAAACAAGCUGUACAGUAAGCCAAGAGAAAGUGAAAACGAAAGCGAAUAUAAAUUAGCCGUUAGUAAUAUUACAAAAGAAAAGUCAUCUAUUAAUGAUAACGAUAGUUAUGAAAUAAAUAAGAUAAACAAUUUUUUACAAACGAGUAAAAUAAAUAAGAAGAUAGAAAUGAAGUACAUUGAUAAUACCAAGGAAGUAAUAAAUUAUAAGGAAAUGUUUUAUAAUUGUAUUAAUAUAAUUUAUUACCUAACAAAUGAACAUAAUAAAAAGAAUAAUAAAUUAAAUAGUUUGUUAUACGAAAUUAAUUGCAUAAACGAUUAUCAGAAAAAAAUAGAUAAUCUGACUGAAGAGAACAAAAAAAUGCGAGUUGAAAUAGCACAAAAAAAUGAAAAUUUAAAUAAAAAUUUCUUAAAAGAUAAAACUAGUUUAAAUAAUAAAAUAAAUGAACAAAGUAAAAAACUUGUAGGUUAUGAAAAGGAUAUAAGUAUAUAUAAAAAUCGUAUUAAUAAAUUAAAUAAUAAAAUAAUAAAUAAAGAUAACGAAAUCGAACAACUGAAAAAAAAUCACCAACUUAUUUUUGACGACAUAGAACAAUGUAAAAAAGAAGCAUUAAAUGUAAUAAAAGAUGUUUUAAAUAAAAAACAUGCUACAUUAGUUGAUAAACAGUGUUUGGAUCUUUCAAAAUAUUAUGAAAUACAAAUAACUGCAUUUAAAAAAGAAGUUAAAAAUUUGAAAAAUAUAAUAAAAAAUGAAGCUAAAGAUAAAAUUGCUUUAAAUAAAAAAAUAAAAAUGUUGACAGACACAUGUGCACAGAUGAAUCAACAAAGCAUGCAAAAAAAAACAGAUGGUAUUUAUGUAGAAUUUGGAAAUAAUAGUGAGGAAGGGAAUUAUAAAAACGGAGAAAAAAAGAAAUCUACUGUGUGUGAAGUGGAUCAAGGGCAUAUAAAUGGUGAUGGUAGAACAGGAAAAAACGGGAUUAUUGCUGAUGGUAGCACAAGCAAAAGCACAAAACAGUCUGAGUUGUGUAAUCAUGAAAAGGAAGAAAACAAUUACAAAAUACUGUAUCAUGAAUUGAUGGCAAAAAUGAAAGAUGUGCAAAAUUCUGUUGAUAAACAAAAAAUAUUAUAUGAUAAAAAACUAGAACAACUGGAACAACAUCAAGAAAUACAAAACGUUAAAAAUCAAUUAAAUGCAUCCGAAAAAAUUAUAGAAGUGUAUCAAAAUAUAUUUAGAGAAAAUGUAAAUCUAAUUCACAUGAACAGUGAUAAUAACAAUUAUAAUAGUCGCAGUAGUAAUACUAUAUGUACAAAGUCUGUUGGUGGUAUUAACCCUAACAAUAUGAACCCUAACAAUGUGAACCCUAACAAUGUGAACCCUAACAUUGUGAACCCUAACAAUGUGAACCCUAAUAAUGUGAACCCUAACAUUGUGAACCCUAACAACGUGAACCCUAACAACGUGAACCCUAACAUUGUGAACCCUAACAACGUGAACCCUAAUAGUAUACAUAUCGAUGCUUCACAAUGCGUGCAUAUGGACUAUAACACAUAUAAAAAUGAUCAUGAUAAUUUCUCUUAUAAUGCACAAAAUGAACAAGACCCGAACAAAAGUAUAAACGGUUAUUUUUCCCAACAUGGAAGUCAGCGUUUUGUUACAUCACCAUUUAACUACAAUUUAAGAACAGGAAGUGGAGGAGUAGAAAAAAGUGGUAUGCAAGAUGUUGUUAAUCCUAACGGAUAUGUUAUCACUUCAUAUAAUCAAUAUAAUGAUGAAACGAAUAGCAGAGCAAAUGAUAAUGUGCUAACUACUAUGAACAAUGGAGACGGUUCUCAUUAUGCUUAUUUGAACACGUUUUUAAAAAUGUAUCUGGAAAAUAGUAAUUUGGACGAUUUGACAAAUAUUUUCACGAAGGACAUUGAAGAAUUAAAAAAAAAAAAAAAAAAUAAAUAAUAAUUUGGAAAAACUUUUAUCUAUUGAAAAUAAUAAAAAUUUAUUUGAUAAUUUAAUGAAUUAUAAA
rnacentral:lncRNA from 1 species